UACGUAGGGACCAAGCGUUGUUCGGAUUUACUGGGCGUAAAGGGCGCGUAGGCGGCCACGACAAGUCACUUGUGAAAUCUCCGGGCUUAACUCGGAACGGUCAAGUGAUACUGUCGGGCUAGAGUACAGAAGGGGCAACUGGAAUUCUCGGUGUAGCGGUGAAAUGCGUAGAUAUCGGGAGGAACACCUGUGGCGAAAGCGGCAUACUGGACCACAACUGACGCUGAGGCGCGAAAGCUAGGGGAGCAAACAGG
rnacentral:rRNA from 1 species